rnacentral:misc_RNA from 1 species
AAUUUUAAUUUCUUUCAUAAAACUUACUAACUUCAAUUUGAUUUAACAAAAGACACUAUGAUAGAAAAUUAAAUAUUUUUAGAUUAAUUUACUAACUUGUUAAGUAUUUUAUAAAUAAAAUUAUCUAACUGGUGGUUGGUAGGAAAAAAAAUGAUGAAUUUAACGGCAUUAGAGGGUAGUUGGAUGCUUUUUAUGCAUCCUAUUUUUUUUUUUAAGAAAUUAAUA